AUUGAACGCUGGCGGCAGGCCUAACACAUGCAAGUCGAGCGGAGCGGCGGACGGGUGAGUAAUGCCUAGGAAUCUGCCUGGUAGUGGGGGAUAACGUCCGGAAACGGGCGCUAAUACCGCAUACUAUCAGAUGAGCCUAGGUCGGAUUAGCUAGUUGGUGGGGUAAAGGCCUACCUAGGCGACGAUCCCUAGCUGGUCUGAGAGGAUGACCAGCCACACUGGAACUGAGAUACGGCCCAGACUCCUACGGGAGGCAGCAGUGGGGGAUAUUGCACAAUGGGCGAAAGCCUGAUGCAGCGACGCCGCGUGGGGGAUGAAGGCUUUCGGGUUGUAAACCUCUUUCGCUAUCGAACGGGUAGGUGGAGAAGAAGCGCCGGCUAACUACGUGCCAGCAGCCGCGGUAAUAC
rnacentral:rRNA from 1 species